rnacentral:rRNA from 1 species
GAUGAACGCUGGCGGCGUGCCUAAUACAUGCAAGUCGAGCGAAGCGGGGGCAGGUGAGUAACACGUGGGUAACCUCCUCUAAGACUGGGAUAACUUCGUGAAACCGGAGCUAAUCCGGCUUCUUAUCGAUGGAUCGGCUCUGCAGUAGCUAGUUGGUAAGGUAACGGCUUACCAAGGCAACGAUGUAUAGCCGAGCUGAGAGGGUGAGCGGCCACAAUGGAACUGAGACACGGUCCAGACUCCUACGGGAGGCAGCAGUAGGGAAUAUUGCGCAAUGGGCGAAAGCCUGACGGAGCAACGCCGCGUGAGUGAAGAAGGUCUGCGGAUCGUAAAACUCUGUUAUUAGGGAAGCGUUACCUAAUCAGAAAGCCACGGCUAACUACGUGCCAGCAGCCGCGGUAAUUC